rnacentral:rRNA from 1 species
GUCUAUGGCCAUGCCACCCUGAACAAGCCCAAUCCUGUCUGAUCUUGGAAGCUAAGCCGGGUUGGGCCUGGUUAGUACUUGGAUGGGAGACCACCUAGGAAGACCAGGUGCUAUAGGCU